UAUUUCAACUAAAAAGAUCAUCAACAACAAAGUUGUAUAACUCAUCAAGAUCUAUAACUUUUAUUUUUGUCAUUUCUUCAUCCGACAAAGUAUUAGUAACAUUGCUCACAAAAUUGACAUAUAUGUGUUAUAGUUUAUAAACCAGAUGAGAGAUAUGUGAAUUUUUUGAAUAAUCUUACCAUCACUUUAUCGUAUGAAGAAAUAACCAAAAUAAAAGUUAUAAAUCUUGAUGAGUUAUACAUCUUUGUUGUUGAUGACAUUUUUAGUUGAAAUC
rnacentral:pre_miRNA from 1 species